rnacentral:rRNA from 1 species
UACAGAGGUGGCAAGCGUUGUUCGGAAUUACUGGGCGUAAAGGGCGCGUAGGCGGCCUCGCAAGUCCCGUGUGAAAUCCCUCGGCUCAACUGAGGAAUGGCACGGGAAACUGCGGGGCUUGAGUUCGGGAGAGGGAAGCGGAAUUCCGGGUGUAGCGGUGAAAUGCGUAGAGAUCCGGAGGAACACCAGUGGCGAAGGCGACACGCUGGGCCAUACCUGACGCUAAAGCGCGACAGCAUGGGGAGCAAACGGG